rnacentral:lncRNA from 10 species
CCGUCAUUCCGCAUUUGUGUGUCACACACGAUUUCCUUGAGACCUCCGCCCCUCUCUCCUCGUAAACUCCUCUCCAACAGAGAAAGGAAGCCCUUGUUCAUGAGAUAACGGCUCCCCUCUCUCCAGUCAGGAACUGAAGCAGAGGUUUCAUCAGCCUGGGAGAAAAACAGCCCCUUUGGUUCUCAGUGUGGCCAUCUCUCUUGGUGGGCAUGUAACUGGCCGCCAGGGUCCCGCAGAGCCUCCCGGAGUUGCUCUCCACGCCCCACACCUGCAGGAUGUGAGCUGUGGUCCCUAGCAUGGUCCUGGGCCAGAGGCGGAUGGGGUGGUCCUGCACUCUUUAAAUGAAGGGUAAACAAAGGUGCUUCCUCAAAGUGAAUUACUCUGCGUAAACACAUAUAAGUCUGCGUCCUUUGCUUUUGAUCCAAGGACUUGGUCCCAUGGAGUUGAAAGCAUUUCUUGUCAGAUCCGGCCCAAUCUCAAAGUUGGAGGCAACAGCGUGAAAGGUGUGACCAGACGUCCUGUACAGUGUGGAGCUGUCCCCUGCUUGGAGGUGACUGUCAGUUCCACGCGGAGAGGAGAAGGGCUGCUCUGUGGAGAGGAAGCUGCAGAUGGGGGUUCUGGUGCUGGAUUGGGAAGAGAGCCUCCGAGCACGUCUGUCUCCGGGAACAUUUCUGGGGAACGGUGCGCUCGGCUCCAUGCCUCUUCUCAGGUCCCAACACGGCAGUGCAGCAGCCCCGGGAAUCCAUCACACAACUGAAAGCCAAGCAUGAGAGUUUGCCCUGGCACGAGUCAACCUCAAUCAGCCCAGAGUCCCCAGCUGCUUCACAUGGAAUCUGGUGAGCCUGGCCCCUGCCGGCGGGUGACAGCCAGACUCAGAGACAUGACUGGGCCCUUGCAGUCCUCUCCCUUGCCCACACACCAUGCCCAGUGCUGCUUGAGAAAGACCCACUGUCCCUGCAGCUCAUUCUUGAACCUCUUCUCCUUGUAGGCAAGUAUUUUUCACCUACAUGUCCCUCAUCGUCUUCUUCUAACUUCCUGUCCAAAGCCAUCAACUCCCUGGCAAUUAGCCUCUCAAGCAUUUUACAAUAUCCUUUCAGGGGUCCCCAUCUACUUGUAGUAUUUACAGCACAGCAUCUGGCCAUGGUAGAUGUUUUAUUAGUUGAAUAAAUAAAUGAGUGGAUAAACAAGCAAAUGAGAAAUAAAAUACAGUCAUCCCUUAGUAUGCACAGGAGAUUGGUUCCAGGACCCCAGCAAAUACCACAACCUGCAGAUGCUCAAGAUGACAUUGUGUGUGUGGAUGAUCCGCUCACAGCCUCCCACAGACUUUACAUCAUCCCUAGACGAUCUUGUAACACCCA